rnacentral:rRNA from 1 species
GAUGAACGCUAGCGGCAGGCCUAAUACAUGCAAGUCGGACGGGAUCCAUUGAUAGCUUGCUAUCAAUGGUGAGAGUGGCGCACGGGUGCGUAACGCGUGAGCAACCUGCCUCCAUCAGGGGGAUAGCCUCUCGAAAGAGGGAUUAACACCGCAUAAUAUCAACAGUUCGCAUGUUCAGUUGAUUAAAUAUUUAUAGGAUGGAGAUGGGCUCGCGUGACAUUAGCUAGUUGGUAGGGUAACGGCUUACCAAGGCGACGAUGUCUAGGGGCUCUGAGAGGAGAAUCCCCCACACUGGUACUGAGACACGGACCAGACUCCUACGGGAGGCAGCAGUAAGGAAUAUUGGUCAAUGGGCGGAAGCCUGAACCAGCCAUGCCGCGUGCAGGAUGACUGCCCUAUGGGUUGUAAACUGCUUUUGUCCAGGAAUAAACCUAAAUACGAGUAUUUAGCUGAAUGUACUGGAAGAAUAAGGAUCGGCUAACUCCGUG